rnacentral:lncRNA from 12 species
CCCAAAUGUUUAUAAUCUGCCAUAGAAACAAUAUCUUUUAGAAGAAAUGAUUAAGGAAUUCUAGAUGGUGGGAGCACAUUCCUACAUCCAGCAGAUUUCUCUCCACGCAUCACUUUUUGGGGAAGGUUGUCCAGAAACAAGCCACCAAACAUCCCCUUGCACCCUGCUCACCAGCUCCCAAUCCUGUUUAUUGCAGAUAAAGAUUAGGCUCACAUUUUCCUAAUAGUCUAAACAAGCCCCUCAGAAACUAAAUCUUCAAAUUACUCCAGUCAUAUCAAAUUUCUUGGAUGCACAUGUCAGCUCUCAUCCCUUUGAUGUUGGUGGCUUGAACUUUCUGCCCUGCCAUUAAUUCAUCACCUGUAUUAAUAAAUAAAGAACAGCCAGGCAUUUUAGCAGGAGCAAACUCCUCAGAGUGAAGAGGACUGGUUUUUCCUAAAGCCUAGCUGUGUGAUCAGAAGCAAGUCAUGACACGUCUCUGAGCUUUGUCUUUGCCUCUCUUUCAGUGGAGGGGCUAGAUUUGAAGUAUACAUGUCAUUACCACAGGAUUAGCAGAAUCAUUAUGAUUCUUCCUUUUUCAUGAGAGAUAUUAAAGUUCUCCAGUUUGGGAACAAAGAGAAAAAUGAUUAUAGUUGGACCAACAUUUGUAAAGAAAAUAGUCAUGUAACCACUGGGAAAGUCUUCUGGAAUUGCUGCAGAUGCUCAGACUGAAAGUUCAAUGCCAAAGCGAGCUCACUGAUCUCAGGUUGUCAGCUCAGGACCUGAGGGUCCAGGGACUCCGUCUGGAUGGCUUCUCUCUCCCAAGCCUGUAAAGCAUAAAUGCCACCUGCAUGAUGAGUGGUCCUGCCUUGUCCUGUCUCCUAAAGAGCAACAUGGAGAACCUUCCCCAAGGAGAACACGGAGCUCAAUGAGGUCACUAUUGAGUCUAGGAGUCCAGCCCUGCCUUCUGUCCCACUGGAAAGGCCAACCCCAACAAGACCUGAGAAACAGGGACACACAUCUUUGGAGCUCUUUCAACUCUGUCUUAGGACAAGAAUGCAGAUUGCCAUCACCACCGUCACCACACCCAAUCCCCCCGUGAGCCGAUAAGGGCUUACAGUGUAAGUGGUGGAGAACACCCUGCCAGGCCUGAAGGAAAGGAGCUCUGAUGUUGAGUAAUGGCAAGAAAAGCAGAAUGUUCCUCUGUCCCCUCUCCCUUUAUCCCCUCCCAGGAACAGGCUACAAGUUCAUAUCAGCACACUGACCUGCCAGCAGUGCUCACCAGCGGUCACUGCCCUCCUCUCUCCCUCCUCCACACCAGUUGACCUCAGAGGCCUUGAGAAUUCUUUUCACGAGCAUGGGGACACAGCUAACAAGAAAGUUGAUCCAGUAAAAACAGAACCAAACCUGAAGUGUGAGUUUGAGUUUGCUGCUGCUUAGCACACAGAGACUGCAGCGAGUUCAUGGAUAAGUCGAG